CCCACGUAUCUGCUCCAUUUUUUCGCAAUCAAUUCCCCUGACCAUGGGCGGCCCACUACCAGGCGGUUACAAACGUCGCCAUCAGUCCGUUGCCUCCCCCGCCUAUAAAAGGGGGACUCAGAUACGUUAUUCUUUAAGCUCUUUUGCCUUAUCUCAAAACUCUGCUAAACUCUCCGUUCGAGCACUCCAUUCUUGUUGAGGCAGAGAACUGACUUGAGCGUCGGAGGGUCUUGUCGGAGCAACCCCACCUCCGGUUUAGACUUUUCUUGCAGGUCCCGGCGGCGACCGCGGCUUCCUCAACUCCAGCUUCUCCGACGCAGGUAGAUUUUUGCACCAACAAGGAUCAUUGGAGCCGAUGCUAGAAUUAGGGAGGUCCGUAGUUAUGUACUAAAUAACCUCCUUCAGACAGCCCUCUCAUGUUUCAGAGGAGGCAUAUCUACCU
rnacentral:lncRNA from 1 species